UACGUAGGGUGCAAGCGUUGUCCGGAAUUAUUGGGCGUAAAUAGCUCGUAGGCGGUCUGUCGCGUCUGCUGUGAAAACUCAGGGCUUAACCCUGAGCUUGCAGUGGGUACGGGCAGACUAGAGUGCGGUAGGGGAGACUGGAAUUCCUGGUGUAGCGGUGAAAUGCGCAGAUAUCAGGAGGAACACCGGUGGCGAAGGCGGGUCUCUGGGCCGUAACUGACGCUGAGGAGCGAAAGCAUGGGGAGCGAACAGG
rnacentral:rRNA from 1 species